UACGAAGGGUGCAAGCGUUGCUCGGAAUCAUUGGGCGUAAAGCGAGCGCAGGUGGUUUUGUAAGUCAGGAGUGAAAGCCCAGGGCUUAACCCUGGAAGUGCUUUUGAUACUGCAAAACUUGAGUGUGGGAGAGGGUGCUAGAAUUCCUGGUGUAGUGGUGAAAUACGUAGAUAUCAGGAGGAACACCGGUGGCGAAGGCGGGCACCUGGCCCAACACUGACACUUAGG
rnacentral:rRNA from 1 species